rnacentral:lncRNA from 1 species
GAAAUGUGUUACUGACAAGCCUGCAGGCCACAUGGCGAGAUGGAAAGCAAGCAGGUUCGUGAACCAGGAAGUUGGGACUGCAUCACUGGGCCGGUCACUCCACUUCGUGGUACUUCUGCUUCCUCCUCCAAGUAAAGACCAAAGAAACUCGUUGAGGACAAUGGAAGAUGGGCUCAGAAGAAAAUGGAUACAGCUGAAGCUAGAUGGGUCAUGGGUGAAAGCAGGACAGGACCUCAUUCUCCAACAGAUACCAAGUAAGCCCCCAACACUGCACAGGCUGUCACACUUGGCGAGGGAACCAGAAUCCCCAAUCUCCCUGCUACACAAAGUCAGUAGCUGUUUUGCUUGCAUUGAUGGGUAGGCAGCGGUUGGUGCCUCGGUGCUGUGAGGCGAUGUCCUCUACCCACAGCUCUGGAAGCCAACUCACCAUGCCAGGGAGGGCAACUUGCAACAUCAUGGUCACAAAGUGGCCACCCUACCAUUUCAGCAAAUGUCUUCCUAUGUCCAUUAACUAGGGGGAACUGGCUAACUCCAUACGCUUUUU